rnacentral:rRNA from 1 species
GGGCUCACACAAGCGGUGGAGGAUGUGGCUUAAUUCGAGGCUACGCGAAGAACCUUAUCCUAGAUUUGACAUGCUUGAGAAUUCCUUCGAAAGAAGGAAGUGCCCCUCGGGGAGCUUUUGCACAGGUGCUGCAUGGCUGUCGUCAGCUCGUGUCGUGAGAUGUCGGGUUAAGUCCCUUAACGAGCGAAACCCUUAUCUCUAGUUGCCAGCGGGUAAUGCCGGGGACUCUAGAGAGACUGCCGGUGUCAAACCGGAGGAAGGUGGGGAUGACGUCAAGUCCUCAUGGCCUUUAUGUCUAGGGCUGCACACGUCCUACAAUGGUACGGACAAACGGACGCGAAACCGCGAGGUGGAGCAAAUCCUAGAAACCGUGCCUCAGUUCGGAUUGCAGGCUGCAACUCGCCUGCAUGAAGCCGGAAUCGCUAGUAAUCGCAGGUC